rnacentral:lncRNA from 1 species
CUAAGUAUAAAGAAGCAAAUAAUAAUUGGAAUCGUACGAAAUCUUAAAACUAAUUCUCUUUUAUUCCUAACGAACAGCUAACCGUCGGCAAAAGAAAUGAAAAAAAAAAAAAAAAUCAUAACAAUCUUGAAGAAGCAUGAUUCUUGCCAUUUCUUCAAGCAUACCAACAAAUAUUAUUGUCUUUGUGUCUUCCUUAGUUUGGCUAUUCAACUUUUCUAUUUCUACAGUAUAUCUUAAUUUAUUUCUCUCUUCUAACCUCCCUUUAUAUCCUUCCUUAGUACAAC